rnacentral:rRNA from 1 species
GGCCGUAAACGAUGAACACUAGGUGUCGGGGGAAUCGACCCCUUCGGUGUCGUAGCUAACGCGUUAAGUGUUCCGCCUGGGGAGUACGCACGCAAGUGUGAAACUCAAAGGAAUUGACGGGGGCCCGCACAAGCGGUGGAGUAUGUGGUUUAAUUCGAUGCAACGCGAAGAACCUUACCAGGGUUUGACAUCCUGCGAACCUCUUAGAAAUUUGAGGGUGCCUUCGGGAAUGCAGUGACAGGUGGUGCAUGGCUGUCGUCAGCUCGUGUCGUGAGAUGUUGGGUUAAGUCCCGCAACGAGCGCAACCCACGUUUUUAGUUGCCAGCAUUUAGUUGGGCACUCUAGAAAGACCGCCGGUGAUAAACCGGAGGAAGGUGUGGAUGACGUCAAGUCAUCAUGCCCCUUACACCCUGGGCUACACACGUACUACAAUGCUACGGACAAAGGGCAGCAAACUCGCGAGAGCUAGCAAAUCCCAUAAACCGUGGCUCAGUUCAGAUCGUAGGCUGCAACUCGCCUACGUGAAGUAGGAAUCGCUAGUAAUCGCAGGUCAGCAUACUGCGGUGAAUACGUUCCCGGGCCUUGUACACACCGCCCGUCACACCAUGGAAGUUGGCCAUGCCCGAAGUCGUUACUCCAACCCUUGUGGAGGAGGAUGCCGAAGGUGGGGCUA